GGAUAUGGCUCAGUGGCACAGUGCCUGCCUGGCAAACACAAGGUCCUGAGUUCGAUUCUCAGUACCA
rnacentral:tRNA from 1 species